CCAGAGAAUUUAGCAGAGAUGCUUUAGUGCCUUCGGGAACUCUGAGACAGGUGCUGCAUGGCUGUCGUCAGCUCGUGUUGUGAAAUGUUGGGUUAAGUCCCGCAACGAGCGCAACCCUAUCCUUUGUUGCCAGCGAUUCGGUCGGGAACUCAAAGGAGACUGCCGGUGAUAAACCGGAGGAAGGUGGGGAUGACGUCAAGUCAUCAUGGCCCUUACGAGUAGGGCUACACACGUGCUACAAUGGCGCAUACAAAGAGAAGCGACCUCGCGAGAGCAAGCGGACCUCAUAAAGUGCGUCGUAGUCCGGAUUGGAGUCUGCAACUCGACUCCAUGAAGUCGGAAUCGCUAGUAAUCGUAGAUCAGAAUGCUACGGUGAAUACGUUCCCGGGCCUUGUACACACCGCCCGUCACACCAUGGGAGUGGGUUGCAAAAGAAGUAGAUAGCUUAACCUUCGGGAGGGCGUUUACCACUUUGUGAUUCAUGACUGGGGUGAAGUCGUAACAAGGUAAGCGUAGCGAG
rnacentral:rRNA from 1 species